UAUCUCACAAAACGUGGUGAAACCAGUAAAUGUCGGCUAUUACGUCAGAAAACUUCUCAGCUGAGAUCUACUCUUCAUUCUAUUUAUAUUCUCUUCUAGAACUUCUAGAGGGUUCAAGAUACACGCAGUUUCAGGUUUGAAGAAUACACUCAAGCUGACGAUAGAAUGAGUAUAGCUUGCUCUUGUAAUCGGUCACACAUCACCCUCACCUCCCUCUCCUCCUCAUUCAUCUACAAGACCAGGGGGUUGGAGACAAAGAAGUUUCCUGAUUUGAACUAUAGGAAGAGAGCCGGGAUUCCUUAGACGUGCUGUACUGUAGUGAAGAGGACCGUGUACUGUACUGCAUUGUUCUGCAGUGUAAAGGACCUCUGUACACACAGUGCUCCGGAAAACUGUGUCUGUACUAAAGUGAAGUACAAGAUACGAUAUUAAUAUAUAGUUAGUAAAGUACACAAAAAUUUCUUAAUAAUAUCGUAAUUAUAAACAGUACGUGUUAAUACAACUUGGGAAGUUGGGAGCAGUCUAACUAUAAAAGGCUUUAAAAUGCACGGUUCAAGAAGUGAUAAGUCAGUCAAAUCUGACUCAAUGUGGUCUGUACUGCUUCAGGUGUUCCCGACCUUUAUUAUUGCUGGUCUGGGAAUGGUCGGAGCUGGUCUAGUGCUUAACAGUGUUCAGGU